AUGUCUUCCUCCGCCUCCUUCCAGCCGAUGCUCAGCGGCGGAGUCCCGGAGAAGCUUUCCCGCACCAACUAUGUUCUGUGGCGAACGCAGAUCACGCCACAGUUGCGGGGCGUCGGCGUCUUCCACUACGUCGAUGGCACGGCAAUCGAACUGGCCAAAGUCCUCACUACCAAGGACGCCACCGGUAAGGAGACCACUGGGCCGAAUCCUAUCCAUCCGAUCUGGGUGAGGGAGGACCAGCAGGUCCUUGGAUACCUGCUCCAAAACUUCUCCAAGGAGGUGCUCGUCACAGUGACCACGAUCACCACGGCGCGUGAACUCUGGGUGGCACUGGCGAGCAUGUUCUCGUCGCAGUCACUCAGCCGCGUCAACAACAUCCGCACAACGCUGAUCAACGCGCAGAAGGGAAAUCAAUUGGUGUCCUCCUUCUUCGCCGCCAUGAGGGAUCUCGCCGAUGAACUCGCCGCGGCCGGAAAACCCAUCUAG
rnacentral:rRNA from 1 species